rnacentral:rRNA from 1 species
UAACACUGAGAAAUUGGUACUAAUACCCCAUAAUAUCAUAGAAGGCAUCUUUUAUGGUUGAAAAUUCCGAUGGUUAGAGAUGGGCAUGCGUUGUAUUAGCUAGUUGGUGGGGUAACGGCUCACCAAGGCGACGAUACAUAGGGGGACUGAGAGGUUAACCCCCCACACUGGUACUGAGACACGGACCAGACUCCUACGGGAGGCAGCAGUGAGGAAUAUUGGUCAAUGGACGCAAGUCUGAACCAGCCAUGCCGCGUGCAGGAUGACGGCUCUAUGAGUUGUAAACUGCUUUUGUACGAGGGUAAACGCAGAUACGUGUAUCUGUCUGAAAGUAUCGUACGAAUAAGGAUCGGCUAACUCCGUGCCAGCAGCCGCGGUAAUACGGAGGAUUCAAGCGUUAUCCGGAUUUAUUGGGUUUAAAGGGUGCGUAGGCGGUUUGAUAAGUUAGAGGUGAAAUUUCGGGGCUCAACCCUGAACGUGCCUCUAAUACUGUUGAGCUAGAGAGUAGUUGCGGUAGGCGGGAUGUAUGGUGUAGCGGUGAAAUGCUUAGAGAUCAUACAGAACACCGAUUGCGAAGGCAGCUUACCAAACUAUAUCUGACGUUGAGGCACGAAAGCGUGGGGAGCAAACAGGAUUAGAUACCCUGGUAGUCCACGCAGU